rnacentral:rRNA from 1 species
AUUGAACGCUGGCGGCAUGCCUUACACAUGCAAGUCGAACGGUAACGGGCCUUCGGGUGCCGACGAGUGGCGAACGGGUGAGUAAUGUAUCGGAACGUACCUUUCAGUGGGGGAUAACGUAGCGAAAGUUACGCUAAUACCGCAUAUUCUGUGCGCAGGAAAGCAGGGGAUCGCAAGACCUUGCGCUGAUUGAGCGGCCGAUAUCAGAUUAGCUAGUUGGUGAGGUAAAGGCUCACCAAGGCGACGAUCUGUAGCGGGUCUGAGAGGAUGAUCCGCCACCCUGGAACUGGGACACGGUCCAGACUCCUACGGGAGGCAGUAGUGGGGAAUUUUGGACAAUGGGGGCAACCCUGAUCCAGCCAUGCCGCGUGAGUGAAGAAGGCCUUCGGGUUGUAAAGCUCUUUCGGCCGGGAAGAAAUCGUAUCAGCUAAUGCCUGGUGCGGAUGACGGUACCGGCAUAAGAAGCACCGGCUAACUACGUGCCAGCAGCCGCGGUAACAC